AGGCCCCCAAAUACACAUAAGUCUCCUACGCAGGUUUUGUUUUGUGUUUUUGAGAUGGAGUCUCGCUCUUGUCGCCCAGGCUGGAGUGCAAUGGCGCGAUCUCAGCUCUCCGCAACCUCCGCCUCCCGGGUUCAAGCGAUUCUCCUGCCUCAGCCUCCCGAGUAGCUGGGAUGACAGGUGCCCGUCACCACACCCAGAAAAGGAAGUUUGAAAUGAUGGGGUUGUAAACUUGACGUCAACUCAUGGCUAACCGCUUCCUUAUUUUUUUUUUUAAUUGGAUAUAUUUAACGUACAAACAAGAUGUUUUGAUACAGAAUUAACUCUUAAGCAAUGUGGAGGUUACAGACACUGCCACCUUGUGCAGUCAAAAAUCCAAGUAUAGGGCAGGGCCCAGUGGCUCACACCUGUAAUCCCAGCUCUGUGGGAGGCCAAGGUGGGUGCAUCACCUGAGGUCAGGGGUUCGAGACCAGCCUGACCAACAUGGCGAAACUCCAUUUCUACUAAAAAUACAAAAAUGACCCAGGCAUGGUGGUACAUGCCUGUCAUCCCAGCUACUCAGGAGGCUGAGGCAGGAGNNACUUUUGAGACGGAGUCUCGCUCUGUCGCCCAGGCUGGAGUGCAGUGGCAAGAUCUCGGCUUACCGCAAGCUCCACCUCCCAGGUUCAAGUGAGCCUCCCAAAGGGCUGGGAUGACAGGCGUGAGCCACGCACCCAGCAGGGCUCAUUCUGAAAAACUCCUUGGGCUGGUGGCAGAGGAGGGAGGCAAUUGGGAAUAGCUUCAGAAGCUUGCAGGAGGGGUGGCGGCCUUGGCAGGAC
rnacentral:lncRNA from 1 species